UACGAAGGGGGCUAGCGUUGCUCGGAAUCACUGGGCGUAAAGCGCACGUAGGCGGAUCGCUAAGUCAGGGGUGAAAUCCUGGAGCUCAACUCCAGAACUGCCUUUGAUACUGGCAAUCUCGAGUCCGGGAGAGGUGAGUGGAACUGCGAGUGUAGAGGUGAAAUUCGUAGAUAUUCGCAAGAACACCGGUGGCGAAGGCGGGUCUCUGGGCCGAUACUGACGCUGAGGAGCGAAAGCGUGGGGAGCGAACAGG
rnacentral:rRNA from 1 species